GGCCAGAGGAGGUAGUAAAGACAAAUAUCGAUACAGAACUCAAUUGAGGUACUGUAAUCGAAAUGAGUGCAUUAUAAAUCCUACAACGAGGAUCUAUUGGAGGGCAAGUCUGGUGCCAGCAGCCGCGGUAACUCCAGCUCCAAUAGCAUAUAUUAAAAUUGCUGCAGUUAAAAAGCUCGUAGUUGGAUCUGGGUUCUGGUUUGGGAUAUCAUGAAUUAAUAUAAUGAAUUUCAUUUAUUGGUCCAUGAUUUAUUCAGGCCGAAUCUUCCAGCUGUGUCUGUGUGGUAUCUCGGUAACACAUAGAUAGUGUCGUUGUCUGCUAUUGCUUCACAGCUUUACAGUUUCGAUAUUAUGCACUGUUAAUGCCUUUAAUCGGGUGUUCAGUGUGGACAGCACGUUUACUUUGAACAAAUUUGAGUGCUCAAAGCAGGCCUAUGUU
rnacentral:rRNA from 1 species